CCCUUGAGGCCUCCUUGUAGCCUGACUAGCCGCGAAGCACCUUUGUCUCCACAGCAGAGACCAAGAGAACACGCACUGACUAGUUCUCAAGCCCUGAUGCUGAACCAACCACAGAGCGAGGCCUACUAAAAGCCCAAAGAUCAGGGACACUCAGUCUCCUAACUCCUCAAAAUGGCGGCUCCGGUACUAGCACGGAUCCGGGGAUUCAGCUUAAGGCUCACUGUACGUGCUUCCAAGCGACAUAAGCCUACCCUCCAGGUGUCUGAGUGCCCAGCAGUCUCUAAUCAAAC